AUGUUCGGCUGGUUGGAAUCGGGUGCCUUUGGGCGUGCGACAUGAGACUAGUUGGGCAUGGAAUGUCGCCUUCUAACUUGUGCUGCCUUCGGGAUGGUGGAUGGUCGGAGCGACGACAAAGCGUGCAAGGUGGGGUGGAGUUGGGUGCCUUCGGGCGUCCAACAUGAGCCUCGUCGAGCGUGCGGCGUUGUGGUGACGCCGUCGGGCCAUCCUUGGGGCAGCCCUAUGUUUUGAAGGUCGCGUGUGGUGCCAGGACAUGUUCGGCUGGUUGGAA